GCCUUGGCAGUACAAGGUUAGCUUGAUGGGAUUAAAGCAAUGAAUGGAUUUACAUAACAUUUGAAAUGUUGGGCACCAAGGAAGGCUUCAGAGAGAAAGUGUCAAUUAACAUUUAAAUUGGACUUCCUUAGCUGAGUAUGAAAUGCCAAUGAGUGGCUAUAGCGGAGGAAAAAACUCAUAUAAAACAAACUCAGUAUACAAGUACUAAUGGACUCAGUAACAUUUAGUAUUGGCAAAUUGCUGAAAAUUUGUCAGAGAAAUGAAUCACCCUGUGUGUGUUCUAUGAUUUGCUUCUUUCUCAGAAUAGUAUGUCCAAGAUUCAUCCAU